rnacentral:rRNA from 1 species
AGAGCGAACGCUGGCGGCAGGCCUAACACAUGCAAGUCGAACGGACUCUUCGGAGUUAGCGGCGGACGGGUGAGUAACACGUGGGAACGUGCCUUUUGGUUCGGAAUAGCUCCUGGAAACGGGUGGUAAUGCCGAAUGUGCCCUUCGGGGGAAAGAUUUAUCGCCAUUAGAGCGGCCCGCGUCUGAUUAGCUAGUUGGUGAGGUAAAGGCUCACCAAGGCGACGAUCAGUAGCUGGUCUGAGAGGAUGACCAGCACAUUGGGACUGAGACACGGCCCAAACUCCUACGGGAGGCAGCAGUGGGGAAUCUUGCGCAAUGGCGAAAGCCUGACGCAGCCAUGCCGCGUGAAUGAUGAAGUCGUUAGAUUAGUAAAAUUCUUCACCGGGACGAAUAAUGACGGUACCCGAGAAGAAGCCCGGCUAACUUCGUGUCCAGCAGCCGC